rnacentral:sRNA from 12 species
ACUAUGGAGUGUACAGGAACUUGUGAGUAGAUAUGAUCUCGGUCAAUCCAAAGCAUACACGAUGAAGUAGUAA